UACGUAGGGUGCGAGCGUUAAUCGGAAUUACUGGGCGUAAAGCGUGCGCAGGCGUUUCGUUGUGUCGGUGGUGAAAGCCCCGGGCUUAACCUGGGAAUGGCCAUGGAAACUGGCGAACUGGAGUGUGGCAGAGGGGGGUGGAAUUCCGCGUGUAGCAGUGAAAUGCGUAGAGAUGCGGAGGAACACCGAUGGCGAAGGCAGCCCCCUGGGCUAGCACUGACGCUCAGGCACGAAAGCGUGGGGAGCAAACAGG
rnacentral:rRNA from 1 species